rnacentral:rRNA from 1 species
ACUCAAAGGAAUUGACGGGGACCCGCACAACCGGUGGAGCGUGUGGUUCAAUUCGAGACAAAACGAAAAACCUCACCAGGGUUUGACAUGUAACCGUUUAUGCUUUUGGAAACAUUAGCAAAUCCGUAAGGAUGGUUACACAGGUGCUGCAUGGCUGUCGUCAGCUCGUGCCGUGAGGUGUUCCCUUAAGUGGGGAAACGAGCGUAACCCGCGUCCAAUGUUGAAUAUUCAUUGGAGACUGCCCCAGUUUUACUGGGAAGGAAGGAGCGGAAGACGUCAAGUCAGCAUGGCCCUUAUACCCUGGGCUACACACACACUACAAUGGCGAAUAACAAUGGGCUGCAAGCCGGUAACGGCAAGCGAAUCCCUUAAAUUUCGCCUCAGUUCAGAUUGAGGUCUGCAACCUGACCUCAUGAAGUUGGAAUCGGUAGUAAUCGUGGAUCAGAAUGCCACGGUGAAUACGUUCUCGGGUCUUGUACACACCGCCCGU